rnacentral:lncRNA from 1 species
UAUUCGAGCUUUACACGUCUCUGAGUUGAUCUGAACAAUUCUUAUUCUAAAAGUUCUUGCAAAUUAUUUUGGAAUUGAUAAUUGUCACUUAUUUCUGUGUGAACCUGAACCUUCUAUUUCUAUUUUUUAAACUGUGUUUGUAAAAAAUGUACAUUAAAUCAUUACUAUGGUCUUAGCUGUGUUACCAAGAUAGCAUCUUAGUUUAUGCGGGGAUGGUAAAACACCUAAGUGCUACCACAUCUUUGCUCAGGAGGGUUUACUUACGGAUUUAUUGAUUUAUUGAAUGUAUGUGAGGACACUGUAGCUAAACAGAUGGUUGUUAGCUUUCAUGUGGUUGUUGGGAAUUGAAUUUUUAGGACCUCUGCUCACUCUGAUCCGCCCUGGUUGGCCCCACUUGCUCUGGACCAAAGAUUUACUUAUUAUUAUACUUAAGUAUACUAUAGCUGUCUUCAGCCAGUGAGCCACCAUGUGGUUGCUGGGAUUUGAACUCGGGACCUUUGGAAGAGCAGUCAGUGCACUUACUCACUGAACCACCUUGCCAGCCACCACUCACUGGGGUUUAAUUUGGUUUCAUGGAGGAAGAAAACAGAAAACAAAUAAUUCCAAAAGAAAGUGUCAAGUGCAACAGGCUAUGCCCUGGCUCUUGGGUGUUUUCCUUUCUAUGAGACUGGCUCUCUUUCUCUUAAACCUCAUACUUAAAAUCUAUGCUAAUUAUUAUUAAUAACCUACCCCCCAAGGAAACAGUGUUGGCACCGUGUGAAUAGCACACACAAUAGGAGGGGUGCUUUUCUAUCCUGGAGGGCUGGAGAGGAGCUGCACAGAAGAGCAGUACAGUUCAAGGUCAAGAGAUCUGCAUGCCAACUGUGUCAAUGUCUGGUCCAUAUGGGAAAGCUGGUUUACAUGCUAAAAGUUUAUCAUAAGGCAGCUAAUUUGUUAUUGAUGUGUAGAGACCCACCUGGACCAGGAAUUUAUAGGGGGUUGUGAGAUAUCUGGGAUGGGUACUAGGAACCAAACCUGCAAACCUGGGUCCCCUCUGAGAGCAGUGUAUCUCUGUCCCUGUCCCUGCCCCCCCCCACAGACCCCCUAAUCUGGAACCAACCAUGUAGACUAUGUUGGCUUCAAAUUCAGAGAUCUGCCCACCUUUGCAUCCUGAGAGGCAUCUAAGGCAUACACCACCACACUGGGCCAUAAAAAGUAAGUACUCCUACCUAACCAGCAGAGUCAUUGUCUUAGCCCUGGGUAUAGACUUGUAGACUUAAUCAUUUAUCUGGUAACUGAGGAGUAAGGCCUUUCUUCCUUCCUUCCUUCCUUCCUUCCUUCCUUCCUUCCUUCCUUCCUUCCUUCCUUCCUUCCUUCCUUCCUUCCUUUCUUUCUUUCUCUCUUCAUUAUAUGUAAGUACACUGUAGCUGCCUUCAGACAAACCAGAAGAGGUCACCCGAUCUCAGUACAGAUGGUUGUGAGCCACCAUGUGGUUGCUGGGACUUGAACUCAGGACCUUGGGAAGAGCAGACAGCACUCUUAACCGCUGAGCCAUCUCUCCAGCCCCAGAGUAAGGCUUUUCGAUGAUGAAGUUGAAGUUUUCGUAUUUCAGGAAUUCAUCCGGUGAUAACAGUCAUAGUGACCCAAGCAGGACAGGAGACCAGAGGCAGGAACAGAAACAGUUCUGGGUGGGAAAAUAUUUGAAAAUAUUCCCUGAUGUUUUGUUGGUUUGGAUUUUCCUUGGGCUUUUAUAGAAGACUAAAAAGAAGACAAACUUUGGCAAAUAAAAGCUCAUUC